AAUCAACGCUGGCGGCGUGCCUCAGACAUGCAAGUCGAACGAUUAAAGCUCUCUUCGGAGAGUGUAUAGAGUGGCGCACGGGUGAGUAACACGUAAGUAAUCUACCCUCGAGUGGGGAAUAACGUCCGGAAACGGACGCUAAUACCGCAUAAUGCAGCGGCACCGCAAGGUGACAGUUGUUAAAGAUUUAUCGCUUGAGGAGGAGCUUGCGGCAGAUUAGCAGUUGGUAAGGUAAUGGCUUACCAAGGCUACGAUCUGUAACCGGUCUAAGAGGACGGUCGGUCACACUGACACUGAAUAACGGGUCAGACUCCUACGGGAGGCAGCAGUCGGGAAUUUUGGGCAAUGGGCGAAAGCCUGACCCAGCAACGCCGCGUGAAGGAUGAAGUACUUCGGUAUGUAAACUUCGAAAGAAUGGGAAGAAUAAAUGACGGUACCAUUUAUAAGGUCCGGCUAACU
rnacentral:rRNA from 1 species